ensembl:lncRNA
CAAGAACCAUUUCUGAUUAUUAUCAAUGUUGAAAACAGUUGUGCUGCUCAAUAUUUUUGUGGAAAACAUCAUACAUUUUAUUUUCCUGGACUGACAGAUAAAUAGAAAUUUCAAAAGAACAGGAUUUAUUUAAAAUAGAAAUCUAACAACACAGGUCUUUCCUAUCACAUUUUGUCAAUUUAACACAUCCUUGCUGAAUAAAUGUAUUAUUUUUUAUCAAAAGAAAUGGAUUUCUAUUUUAAAUAAAUGCUCUUCUUUUCAACUGUUUAAAAAAAUAUUACACAGCACUGUUUUCAAAACUGAUAAUAAAUCAGCAUGUUAGAAUGAUUUCUGAAGGGGAGUAACGGCUGAUGAAAAUUCAGCUUUGCAUCACAGAAAUAAAUUAUAUUUUAACAUAUAUUCACAUGGAAAACAGCUAUUUUAAAUCAGAAUAAUAUUUCACAAUAAUACAGUUUUUUCUGUGUUUUUGAUCAAAUAAGUGCAGCAUUGGUAAGCAGAAGAAAAAUUAAAAAUCUUACUGAUCACAAACUUUUGAAUGGCAGUGUAUACUUUAUAUUACGAUGUGUUCAAGACAAAAUUUCAGUGCAAAAACUGACUGUCUAGCUUGGACUUUCCCCCCCACAAAUUAGCUGUAGAAGUUGAUAUGUUUUAUUGUCCAUUUCUGGUUGAAGCAAACCUCCAUAUUGUAUCAGUCUAUUAUUAUGAGAUUAAAUAUAGGAACCUCUUCUCCAAAUAUAAUGGAUAUUGCAAUGUGUUGAAGACAAAAUCAGUGCAAAAACUGACAUACUUUGUUUAGUCUGUAAUUCAUUCGGUUUGCACAUGUAAACACAGAAAUUACACAAUAUAAUAGUCAUGAUAGUGACUUAUAAAUCCAUGAAAUAAUUGCUAUAUUCAGUCAAAAUCCUGUACAGACUGCUGUUUUUGCAUAACAAUCUCUCCAGACCGCCUCAAGCCCUGCAUGAAAUUUUCAUUGGCAUUUGCUGAAUAACAAACCCUUGUGUAAAAAAAGGCUCGGGCUGUUGUUUCCUUCACUGAGUCACACAUCAGAAAACUGAAGGAAAAUAGGGAGGGGGAAGGGGAUUCAUUUUUGGCUUUACACACUUUCCCUGUAGUGGUCAUGUCUUCUCCCACGAACGCUCUCAUGGCGCUUAUUAGUCGACGUGGGUGGACAAACGCCACCAACAUUUAAAGGGAGUUUACAAUAUUGCACAGCCACUGUGACUUCUAGGCUGUAGGUUAUAUACUGUACAUUUUGUGCUUUGACUGCAUAUGCCUUUUAGAUAAUGUACACAAACUCAAAAGCUUGCAAAAGGAACAAAAAACUAAUUAUCCCAGCAUUGCUAAUUAAAUCUAUAAAGUAAUUGGUUUGCCUGCCAGGACUGUCAAUAUAAAUGUUACAAAAAUUCUUCUUAAUAUAAUUUAAACGGUGCAAAAAAAGUGCAAAGAUCUGCAGAAUGAAUAGAUACGCGAGAAUGUGCACAUAAACACAAUGAAACAGAUUGUCCCUUUCAUCAAAAGUGAGGAGAAGCCUUGAUAUAAAUGUGAACGGUCA